AGCAGUAGCCGCGGUAAUACGUAGGUGGCGAGCGUUGUCCGGAAUCAUUGGGCGUAAAGGGAGCGCAGGCGGGCAUGUAAGUCUUUCUUAAAAGUUCGGGGCUCAACCCCGUGAUGGGAAAGAAACUACAUGUCUUGAGUACAGGAGAGGAAGGCGGAAUUCCCAGUGUAGCGGUGAAAUGCAUAGAUAUUGGGAGGAACACCAGUGGCGAAGGCGGCUUUCUGGACUGCAACUGACGCUGAGGCUCGAAAGCCAGGGGAGCGAACGGGAUUAGAUACCCCAGUAGUCCCUGUCUCUUAUACA
rnacentral:rRNA from 1 species